CCUACGGGUGGCAGCAGUGAGGAAUAUUGGUCAAUGGACGAGAGUCUGAACCAGCCAAGUAGCGUGAAGGAUGACUGCCCUAUGGGUUGUAAACUUCUUUUAUAUUGGAAUAAAAUGUUCCACGUGUGUAUUUUUGUAUGUACCAUAUGAAUAAGGAUCUGCUAACUCCGUGCCAGCAGCCGCGGUAAUACGGAGGAUCCGAGCGUUCUCCGGAUUUAUUGGGUUUAAAGGGAGCGUAGAUGGGUUGUUAAGUCAGUUGUGAAAGUUUGCGGCUCAACCGUAAAAUUGCAUUUGAAACUGGCAGUCUUGAGUACAGUAGAGGUGGGCGGAAUUCGUGGUGUAGCGGUGAAAUGCUUAGAUAUCACGAAGAACUCCGAUUGCGAAGGCAGCUUACUAGACUGUAACUGACACUGAGGCUCGAAAGUGUGGGUAUCAAACAGGAUUAGAUACCCUUGUAGUC
rnacentral:rRNA from 1 species